rnacentral:rRNA from 1 species
GAUGAACGCUGGCGGCGUGCUUAACACAUGCAAGUCGAACGAAGCUGCUUAAAGGAAGUCUUCGGAUGGAAUUUAGGUAGACUUAGUGGCGAACGGGUGAGUAGCGCGUGGAUAACCUGCCUUAUACAGGGGGAUAACGGAGAGAAAUUUCCGCUAACACCGCAGAAGACCACAGCACCGCAUGGUGCAGGGGUAAAAUAUUUAUAGGUAUAAUAUGGAUCCGCGUCCGAUUAGCUAGUUGGUGAGGUAAAGGCCCACCAAGGGCACGAUCGGUAGCCGGCCGGGGAUGGUGAACGGGCACCGUGGGAUUGAUACCUGGUCUAAAAUCCUUCCGUAGGGAAAUGUGUCUUCUAUCACACGGUGGGGGUAGAUCUGGGUCUCCCCCACUGUCCAAUAUACCCCACUGUUGCCUACCGAAAGAGUUUACGCCCGGGUCUCAAAUCCAAUGUGGGUGGUUCACCAACUCAGGGCGGCUACCGAUCGGCGGCCUGGUGGGCCUCUUACCUCACCAACCUAUAUCAGCAGAUACUGAUCGAUAUGAGAGCUAUAAAUAUAUUUACCCCCCGUCCCAUGCGGGGCUGUGGGCUCACGCAGGGCUAGCGGAAAAUUCUUCUCCAGUAUCCCCCUGGGGAGGGGGAGGGAGACUCGCGCUACUCGCCCCUAUGCACUAAAUCUACACUGAAACAACAGCCGACGAACUUCGCUUAAUUGGUCCGAUUGUCUGGUGAGGUGUUAAAGCCCCCGCAGCGAUUCGUA